rnacentral:lncRNA from 1 species
AUUUCUUGCUGGCGAGGAAUACAGAGAGCGCGCGGGACAUAUGGUGCCGAAACCCGGGAAGCUUAACAUCUCCAGCACCUCAGAGACCCCUCUAACGAGGCGGAUUCAGAACUGCAGGGUGGUAAAUUCGGAGAGGUAUGAUUUUUCUGGACUUUGGCUUGGGAAUGUUGCUAUUGUGGGAGGUUAAUAUAGAGGCUUCUAUGCUUUUACUAGGAGCUAUUUUGAUUUUUCUCACUGUUAUAGCAAUCUUAAAGAAGUCCAAAAUUACAUAUCAGAAACCGAAUGUAGUGAGAGAUGGGGCGCGCCUAACAAUAAAAUAUAAGAAAAAAGGACCUCCCGGGAUGUCUAGUGACAUGGGAGUGUAUAUAAGAAAAAAAACUACAACAAAUAAGAAAAAAAGACCUCCUGGAAUGUCUACUGACAAGGGAGUGUAUAAAGCUUUAAAUCUUAAUAGCUCUGAUAACUCUAAAAGCUCAAGAGAUAAAGUUUUAAAAGAAACAGCUCAGCUAGAUGAGGGAGAGACAAAAAAGGAGGGAGAAAGAAUGGGGAAUGGCCGGUCACACCCCGGUAAAUUUAGAAGCUGCCCUACAACGAAACUGGAAGCCUUGGAGCUGAGCAGCUCAGACUCUGAGAUUUUAGACUCUAACAAGGAAGCAGAGCUAGAAAAAGAAGCAGCACGGCCAAAAAUGCCAGCGGGUGUGCUUCCAUCAGCACCCCCACUAUUUGGAACCGACUCCUUCUUACCAUCAGAGGAGCAAAGAAAAUUACAGAUGGCUUUCCCAGUCUUUGAUAGGGGAAAAGGCCAUGCCUGCUAUUCAACACUUCUUAAAGGCCUGGAAUGCCUGGGGCUUUAAAGCCUCAUUUACAUUAACGCUGGGGGCCAUACCGAGGCCAAGCGUCUCACCUCAAAAACUAAAAGGCCAAAAGGAAAUGGUAAAAUGGAAAGAUAUCUUAACUGAUUUUUGGAAAGGCCCGGAUCCUAUUCUCAUAAGAUCCAGGGGAGCGAUAUUAUGUUUUCUCACAGGAUGAAGAGAAU